GUAGGGUGCGAGCGUUGUCCGGAAUUAUUGGGCGUAAAGGGCUCGUAGGCGGUCCGUCGCGUCGGGAGUGAAAACCUGCGGCUUAACUGUGGGCGUGCUUUCGAUACGGGCGGACUGGAGGUAGGCAGGGGAGAACGGAAUUCCUGGUGUAGCGGUGGAAUGCGCAGAUAUCAGGAGGAACACCGGUGGCGAAGGCGGUUCUCUGGGCCUUACCUGACGCUGAGGAGCGAAAGCGUGGGGAGCGAACAGGAUUAGAUACCCUGGUAGUCCACGCCGUAAACGUUGGGCGCUAGGUGUGGGAGGCGUUGUAAGUUUUCCGUGCCGUAGCUAACGCAUUAAGCGCCCCGCCUGGGGAGUACGGCCGCAAGGCUAAA
rnacentral:rRNA from 1 species